ensembl:lncRNA
UUCCAUGUCAUAUGCCAAUUUGUCAGACUGCCCCUCUGCUGCCAUCUGUCACAUGGCAAUAACAUGUAAUGGAAUAUUGGUGGGAAGGUUCAGCCUCUACUGCCACACCACCAACAUCCAUCUCUGACAUCAUGGGCUGACAUAAUAAAAUAGGAGGCACUACUUUUGCAGCAGCCCUAGUAGUAGAGCCCUAGUGAGUAGAGCCUAUUUCUGAUACUAUUCAUUUACAUUAGUACUAUGAAAACAUUUACACAAAGAAUCCCAGGUAAUACAAGUAACUAAUGACUACAAGAAGCAGGAGUUAAAUAAUAUGGUCUUACUACUUCUGCUGACAAAUUAAACUGCAAAUACAAUACACAAGCAUUAGAGCUCAUUGAACAAAAGAGAUUACUUACAGACAGCCAGAAGAGAAAGCAACAUCUGUUAUGAGGGUUUGUACAAGGAAAAUAUUAGCAUUUAACUACAAUCAAAACCAUUCCACAGCUCUUAAAAUCCACGGGUCAUUUUAAAUGUAUACUAUUUUAUUUGAAAUCUGAUCUUUUGCAAGAUUUUCUUUAUCGCUUAAAAAAGCUAUUCUCCAAAAUAUUUCACAAUAAAUCUUGAAAUUCUUUUCAACAGGUCUUACUCUACACAGAGCAAUACUGCUCACAAAUGCCUUUUAGUUAUAUUGUAGUAUCUCUUUCAAUCGUGAUUCAGUGUUUACAUAAAUCUAUCUCUGAGAGUCUUCAGAGUCAUAGCCUUCAGAUCACAACUCUCAGGCUCCACAAUGUACCUGUAAAUUAAACUAGCACAAUAAUUGAAACCUUCAAAGUAAUCUUUAGGUUCUGGGAAGUAUGAUUGUGCAUUGAUUGUGUAUUAAAGGAAUGGUUGAGUAUUUCCUAAUUUGAUCCUGCUCUGCUGCGGGUAGUACCUCUCUCCCACCUCUGUCUGCUAGCAAUAACAGAAACCUGUAGAAGAUUCUGCAGCAAAGAUUGAAACAAAGCAAACAUUCCUUCCUGUAUUCAAGCUCAGUCACACAGCUCCUGCUUGACUGCACUGGUUUUCUGCUGUGCCUGCUGUACGGUUUUCACACUGGGGUAAUCUCAGUGACGAACAAGUGUCAGACACAAACAGCUUGAAUCUACUUGAAAAAAGAAGGGCAACAUUUUUUAUUUUUCC